rnacentral:lncRNA from 1 species
GGUAAUCUCUGGAGCGAGGGUGGCUCUUUAGACUCAAACUUUGUCAAGGAGUCUGGCCUUUGUCUUAUGGCAUCCCAGAGUUAUUCAAAGCCCCUAAACAGGGCUUGUAAAUUUAAUUGAGGCAGCACCCUUGGGGGGGAAGGUCUGGAAGGGGACACACCUGGGAGCCACCAGAAAUCAACUUUCUCAACAGCUGUAGUAUUGUAUGCCUGGAUUCUGAAGAAAAGAUCUGGAUGGGACGACAAAGAAUCUACUGCAAAAGGCAAAGCCAGUUCAGCCUAAUAACAAAAUAUCCAGUAGCACUCUCAUUUCAAUUUAUCUUUCCUUGAUACCUGGACAUAAAUUCACCCUAUGUCCACUGCACCUUUGUAAUUAUUUCUUUCUUCUAGGUGUGAAGCCACCAUUUCUUCUUGAAUCUCUCUGGGGAUGAGGAUGCCUACGAUGUUCUGAUGCAGUGUAUUCUAUUAUUGGGCAUCCUACUGAGAUGAAUUCUCUUUAAAAGAGCUACUUUCCAUGGCAUCCAUUUGGCCAAUAGAAAAUUCAUCAUGCUUACCACACCAAGUAGCAGGAAGGCAGGCUUGUCACGCUGUACCCUCCUUCCUUGCCCUAGUCUCCAGUACUGCUCCAGCUGGCCUCUAACCUCCAGAAUCCUCCCAUUAAUAUGCAGGCCCACAGAAGCCCUGGGCUCAGCCAGAGUUCAGCAGAGAAUGGGUGACCAGCAGCAGAGAGGAGCUUCCCACUCCAGGGAUGACCUGCCUGCAGAGAGGAGCCACCCACCACAUGGCUUCCUGCUCUCUGCUGAGGGCUGAACACUCAUCGUGACACUGUGGCUGCAGGAAGGAGAUACCUACAGUGGGUCUCUGAGCUGGUCUACUGCUCAAUAAAGCUCUUCUUGGUUUUGCUCAUCCUCCACUUGUCUGCGUGCCUCAUUGUUCCUGGUCACAGGACAAGAACUUGGACCGCCGAAUGGCAAGUCUAGAAGACCUGUAAUACAAACUGGUCUGAAACAUGACCCUUGCUCACCACAUGGUGGGUGAAGAGAGGGAGAGAAGAGGUUUAGCCCUUCAAGCCAGGGCUGUGGCUCUCUCUUUAAGGCCCUGUGGUUCCUGGCAACUCUGAGCUUAGGGACACCACUGCAUUUCCUGCUGCCAGCUGAGGAAGCUGCUUGCAGUGCACCUGGUCCAGCCACAGCCUUGCAGAGCUGCCCACCCGACUGUAGCAGCUAGCAUGCCUGACCAUGUGCAGUGACUGGAUCCCAUGCUUACUCGCUCACACACCCCUUACCCCUCCACGCCUGGCUCAUCCUUGGCAGGCGUGGGAUCCAGGCCCACUGCAUGAGCCAAGUGCAGCCUGGCAGGCUGAAUGGAUGGAAUGAGCUGGGCAGGCCCAAGCAAAAGUCAAGCAAAGGUGCCACUGGCCACAGAGGUUUCUGACCAGAAAAGCAACACUUCAAAGAUCCUGUAACAUUUGGAGUGUUUCCACUUUGGGGCAAUAAUAAAUAAAACUUCCAGUAAUCUCCAUUUUAUUUUUUUUGUCUUUGGUGAAUGUGUAGACUCCAUGCUCAUGGAAAUGCAUCUCCAAGUAGAAAUGGUGGGUCGUAAGAGUGGCAUAAUAUCAGCUUUAAUAGAUAUUACCAAUAAUUUUCUAAUAUGUUUUUAUCAAUAUAUCCUCUUGCCAGCAAUGUUUGAGAGUUCCAAUUGCUCUACACACUAACCAACACUUAGUAUUGUUAGUUUAUUUAAGAAAAAAGUUUUAGUCAUUCUGAUAAAUACAUGUUGGUAUCUCAUUAUGAUUUAAAUUUGCAUUUCCCUAGUGAAUAGUACUUUUUCAUAUACCUACUUGUUACUAAAAUAUCUUAUUUUCUGAAAUACUUACUUAGGACCUUCACCUAUUUUUGAAAAUUUGAUAUUUUAAUACUUAAUGUUUUGAAGAAGCUCUUUAUAUGGAAUUAGAAUAAGUACUUUUCAGAUAUUCAUAUUACAAUGUCUUUUCCAGUCUGUGACUUGCCUUUUCAUUCUUU